rnacentral:tRNA from 1 species
GGGGAUAUAGCUCAGUUGGUAGAGUGCUUGCUUCGUGCCCAAGGCCCUGGGUUCAAUCCCCAGUACCA